AUUCCUACGGGAGGCAGCAGUCGGGAAUUUUGCUCAAUGGGCGAAAGCCUGAAGCAGCAACGCCGCGUGAGGGAUGAAGGCCUUCGGGUUGUAAACCUCUUUUUCCAGGGACGAUAAUGACGGUACCUGAAGAAUAAGUCACGGCUAACUACGUGCCAGCAGCCGCGGUAAUACGUAGGUGACAAGCGUUGUCCGGAUUUACUGGGCGUAAAGAGCGCGCAGGCGGUCGUUCAAGUCGAGUGUGAAAGCCCCCGGCUCAACUGGGGAGGGUCAUUCGAUACUGAUCGACUCGAAGGCAGGAGAGGGAAGCGGAAUUCCCGGUGUAGUGGUGAAAUGCGUAGAUAUCGGGAGGAACACCAGUGGCGAAGGCGGCUUCCUGGCCUGUUCUUGACGCUGAGGCGCGAAAGCUAGGGGAGCAAACGGGAUUAGAUACCCCGGUAGUCCUAGCCGUAAACGAUGGACACUAGGUGUUGGUGGUAUCAACCCCACCAGUGCCGAAGCUAACGCAUUAAGUGUCCCGCCUGGGGAGUACGGCCGCAAGAUUAAAACUCAAAGAAAUUGACGGGGGCCCGCACAAGCGGUGGAGCAUGUGGUUUAAUUCGAUGCAACGCGAAGAACCUUACCCGGGUUUGACAUGUACUGGAAGACUCACAGAGAUGUGGUCGCUCGCAAGAGUCGGUACACAGGUGCUGCAUGGCUGUCGUCAGCUCGUGUCGUGAGAUGUUGGGUUAAGUCCCCGCAACGAGCGCAACCCCUUACCUCUAGUUGCCAGCAUUUAGUUGGGCACUCUAGUGGGACUGCCUGCGUUAAGCAGGAGGAAGGUGGGGAUGACGUCAAGUCCUCAUGGCCCUUAUAUCCGGGGCUACACACGUGCUACAAUGGUGGUCACAGAGGGAAGCCAAGCCGCAAGGUGGAGCAAAUCCCUUAAAAGCCAUCUAAGUUCAGAUUGGUCUCUGCAACUCGAGACCAUGAAGUUGGAAUCGCUAGUAAUCGCGGAUCAGAACGCCGCGGUGAAUACGUUCCCGGGCCUUGUACACACCGCC
rnacentral:rRNA from 1 species